rnacentral:lncRNA from 1 species
CACUACUCUUGUGACCGGAAUAAACUUGUCAAACGUUGAUGUAAAGCGAAGGCAGCGCUCCUCCCUUGGCGAUAGUUUUUUGUGGUCUACGAGAUAUCGACCUAUACAGUGCAAUUGCAAUUUAUCGAUAUCUGUUCGUUAGUCUCUAAACUGUUGAGUUAUGCACAUUAAAUCGAGCCACGACGUCAGCAACACUCUUUGUGCCGUCAACCAUUCCAAGACCUUUCUGACAGUCAUUUUCGGGGAUGCCUGGUUGACGCCUAAUGCAAUUUUUU